AUGAGCCACCUGCGCAACCGCCGCCCCACCGCCGCGGCGGCGGCGGAGCAGCCGCCGGUCCAGGCGUCGUACAACAUCAUCCCGAUCCAGGACGUGGUGAUGCACGGGCAGCACCCGUCGCUGCGGUUCCCGGAGGUGCGCGCGGCGGUGGAGGCGAUGGCGCACGCGGAGGACCUCCCGCAGCCGCCGCUCAUGCGCGCCUGGGACUUCCGCCGCGCCGACCUCUUCGACUGGCUCGGCGCCACCUUCGGCUUCCAGCUGCACAACGUCCGCAACCAGCGGGAGCACCUCGUGCUGCUCCUCGCCAACGCGCAGCUCCGCGCCGGCGGCACCCUGCCCGCCGACCACCCCGCCGACGUCCUCCACUCCUCCGUCGCCCGGAACAUCCGGAAGAAGCUCCUCAGGAACUACACUGCCUGGUGCGCCUACCUCGGCCAGAGGCCGCACGUCCACGUGCCCAGCGCCGGCCGCCGGACCGGUGCUUCGGCCACCGUCGGCGUCGACACCCGCAGGGACCUCCUCUACACGGCGCUGUACCUGCUAAUCUGGGGGGAGGCUGCCAAUUUGAGGUUCAUGCCGGAGUGCCUCUGCUACAUCUUCCACUACAUGGCCCUCGACCUCAGCCAUGUCAUGGACUGCUCUAUCGAUAUUGAGACAGGGCGGCUUGCAAUCCCUGCUGUGUGCGGUGAGGAGGCUUUCCUGAACCGUGUUGUCAUUCCGAUUUAUACUGUGCUCAAGGCCGAGGUUGAGGCAAGCCGGAAUGGGACCAAGCCACACUCAGCGUGGAGAAAUUAUGAUGAUGUGAAUGAGUACUUCUGGAGCCGGCGAGUCUUCAAGAAGCUCCGGUGGCCACUGGAUUCAUCAAGGGGCUUCUUUGUGCCGCCGGGGAAGUUUGGCCGUGUUGGGAAGACUGGUUUUGUAGAGCAGCGGUCUUUCUGGAAUGUCUACCGCAGCUUCGACCGGUUAUGGGUGAUGCUUAUUCUGUUCUUUCAGGCAGCGAUGAUCAUUGCAUGGAAUGGUAGCGGGAUUCCAUGGGAGACCCUCAGGCACCGUGACAUCCAGGUCCGGGUGCUGUCAGUGUUCAUCACCUGGGCUGGGCUGCGCUUUAUGCAGGCGUUGCUUGAUGCGGGCACUCAAUACAGUCUUGUGUCGAGGGAGACUAAGCUCAUCUCUGUCCGGAUGGUCCUCAAGGCGUUUGUUGCUGCAGGGUGGACUAUCACAUUCAGCGUGCUUUAUGUGCGGAUGUGGGAUCAGCGGUGGCGAGAUCGCAGGUGGUCCUUCGCCGCCGAAACCAGGGUGUUAAAUUUCCUUGAAGCAGCUGCUGUGUUUGUCAUCCCACAGGUGCUUGCGUUGGUGCUGUUCAUCAUUCCUUGGGUUCGGAAUUUUACGGAGAAAACCAAUUGGAGAAUUCUAUAUGUGCUCACCUGGUGGUUCCAGACGCGCACAUUUGUAGGCCGUGGUCUGAGGGAGGGACUAAUAGAUAACAUCAAGUAUUCCCUGUUCUGGAUCUGCCUUCUUGCUGCUAAGUUUAGCUUCAGCUACUUCCUCCAGAUUAAGCCGAUGGUGUCCCCCACAAAGACAAUAUUCAGCCUCCAUGACAUCCGGCGUAACUGGUUUGAGUUCAUGCCCCACACGGAGCGGAUUGCUGUAAUCAUCCUGUGGCUCCCAGUUGUCCUCAUUUACCUCAUGGAUAUCCAGAUAUGGUAUGCAGUCUUCUCAUCACUUACAGGGGCACUAAUCGGUCUUUUCUCGCAUCUGGGGGAGAUUCGCAGUGUUGAGCAGCUGCGGUUGAGGUUUCAGUUUUUUGCAAGUGCAAUGCAGUUCAAUUUGAUGCCAGAGGAGCACCUGGACAAGUUGCAUGGUGGCAUCCGGAGUAAACUGUAUGAUGCAAUUCACCGGCUCAAGCUGAGAUACGGUUUUGGCCGCCCAUAUAGGAAAAUUGAAGCAAAUGAGGUCGAAGCAAAGAGAUUUGCACUGAUUUGGAAUGAGAUCAUUCUGACAUUUAGGGAAGAAGACAUUGUUAGUGACAAGGAAGUUGAGCUUCUUGAGCUUCCACCAGUUGUUUGGAAAAUUCGUGUGGUGCGGUGGCCGUGCUUGCUGCUAAACAAUGAGCUGCUUCUUGCUCUCAGUCAAGCAAAAGAGCUAGUGGCUGAUGACAGGACACACUGGGGUAGGAUAUCUAGCAUCGAGUACAGGCGAUGUGCUGUGAUUGAAGCUUAUGACAGCAUACGCCAGUUGCUGCUGGAGAUCAUUGAGGAGAGGACGGAUGAGCACGUUAUUGUCAAUCAGCUGUUCCUUGCAUUUGAUAACGCAAUGGAAUACGGGAAAUUCUCUGAAUACUACAGGCUAGACUUGUUACCUAAAAUCCAUUCAUCUGUAAUCACCUUAGUGGAACUGCUACUGAAGGAAAAAAAAGAUCAGACCAAGAUAGUCAACACCUUGCAGACUCUCUAUGUCCUUGCAGUUCAUGAUUUUCCAAAGACCAGGAAGGGUAUUGAACAGCUCCGGCAAGAGGGGCUAGCACCGUCAAGGUUGACUGAAUCUGGGUUGCUCUUUGAGGAUGCCGUAAAAUUCCCUGGUGAGAAUGAUCUUAGCUUCUACAAGCAGGUGAGGCGCCUCCAUACAAUCCUCACAUCCAGGGAUUCCAUGAACAAUGUCCCAAAGAACCCUGAGGCUAGGCGGCGUAUAGCUUUCUUCAGCAACUCCCUAUUCAUGAACAUGCCUCGUGCUCCCACAGUUGAGAAGAUGGUGGCAUUCAGUGUUUUGACUCCAUAUUACAACGAAGACGUCAUGUACAACAAGGACCAGCUUCGUCGUGAAAAUGAAGAUGGCAUCUCAAUCUUGUUUUAUCUUCAGAAGAUUUAUGAAGAUGACUGGGCGAACUUUUUAGAACGUAUGAGGAGGGAGGGAAUGGUUAGUGAUGAUGAUAUUUGGGCUGGGAAAUUUCAGGAGCUCCGACUUUGGGCCUCGUAUAGGGGUCAGACCUUAUCACGGACUGUUAGGGGAAUGAUGUACUAUUACAGGGCUCUCAAGAUGCUUGCUUUUCUUGAUACUGCCUCUGAGAUUGACAUUACAGAAGGAACAAAACAUCUGGCUAGCUUUGGUUCCAUUAGGCAUGAAAAUGAUGUGUAUCCUAUGAACAAUGGUUUGCAACAACGGCCUCAAAGGAGGUUGAACAGAGGAGCCAGCACUGUCAGUCAGUUGUUUAAAGGCCAGGAAGAUGGUGCUGCUCUCAUGAAGUACACCUAUGUGGUCGCUUGCCAGAUAUACGGAAACCAGAAAAAGGGGAAAGAUCCACGUGCCGAAGAUAUCCUGUCUCUUAUGAAGAAAAAUGAGGCCCUUCGUGUUGCUUAUGUUGAUGAGGUCCACGAGAUGGGUGGUAUACAAUAUUAUUCUGUCCUUGUAAAAUUUGACCAGGACUUGCAGAAAGAGGUUGAGAUAUACAGGAUCAGGUUGCCAGGCCAACUGAAACUUGGAGAAGGUAAACCCGAAAACCAGAACCAUGCCAUCAUAUUCACAAGAGGCGAUGCAGUGCAAACAAUUGACAUGAACCAAGAUAAUUAUUUUGAGGAGGCUCUCAAGAUGCGCAAUCUAUUACAACAGUACAACUAUUAUCAUGGGAGCCAAAAGCCAACCCUGUUGGGAGUUCGAGAACAUGUUUUCACUGGAUCUGUCUCUUCACUUGCUUGGUUCAUGUCUGCACAAGAGACAAGCUUUGUUACCCUUGGGCAGCGUGUGCUAGCUAAUCCACUGAAGGUUCGGAUGCAUUAUGGACAUCCUGAUGUAUUUGAUCGCCUUUGGUUUCUGACCCGGGGUGGUUUAAGUAAGGCAUCGAGAGUAAUCAAUAUCAGUGAGGACAUAUUUGCAGGUUUCAACUGCACCCUGCGUGGUGGAAAUGUUAGCCACCAUGAGUACAUCCAGGUUGGCAAGGGGCGUGAUGUUGGGCUUAAUCAGAUAUCGAUGUUUGAGGCUAAGGUAUCCAGUGGCAAUGGUGAACAGACAUUGAGUAGGGAUAUCUACAGACUUGGUCAUAGAACUGAUUUUUUCCGGAUGCUUUCUGUGUUUUAUACAACAGUGGGAUUCUACUUCAACACAAUGCUGGUGGUCUUGACAGUUUACACAUUUGUUUGGGGGCGCCUGUAUCUGGCCCUGAGUGGUCUGGAGGCUGGAAUUCAGGGAAGUGCUAAUGCUACUAACAAUAAAGCCUUGGGUGCUGUGCUAAAUCAGCAGUUUGUCAUACAGCUCGGAUUCUUCACUGCCCUGCCAAUGAUUUUAGAGAAUUCUCUUGAACUAGGUUUUCUACCUGCUGUCUGGGAUUUUUUCACAAUGCAGAUGAAUUUUUCGUCUGUCUUCUACACAUUUUCCAUGGGAACAAAAAGCCAUUACUAUGGCCGAACAAUUCUUCAUGGUGGUGCAAAGUAUCGGGCUACUGGCCGUGGCUUUGUUGUGCAGCAUAAGAGUUUUGCUGAAAAUUACAGGCUAUAUGCUAGGAGCCACUUCAUAAAGGCUAUAGAGCUCGGAAUAAUAUUGACCGUGUAUGCCGCUCACAGUGUGAUUGCCAGGAACACACUUGUUUACAUAGUCAUGAUGAUAUCAAGCUGGUUUCUUGUGGUGUCCUGGAUCAUGGCUCCAUUUGCAUUUAAUCCUUCUGGCUUUGAUUGGUUGAAAACUGUGUAUGAUUUCGAGGAUUUCAUGACCUGGAUCUGGUUUCCAGGAGGUAUAUUUUCUAAGGCUGAGCACAGCUGGGAAGUGUGGUGGUAUGAGGAGCAAGAUCAUCUGCGGACUACUGGCCUUUGGGGAAAGAUUUUGGAGAUACUGUUAGAUCUCAGAUACUUCUUUUUUCAGUAUGGGGUUGUAUACCAGCUCAAAAUCGCAGACGGAAGCAGAAGUAUUGCGGUGUAUCUGCUUUCCUGGAUAUGUGUGGCAGUGAUCUUUGGUGUUUUUGUCCUGAUGUCCUAUACCAGGGACACGUAUGCUGCAAAGCAACAUCUUUACUACCGGGUUGUCCAGACUGCUAUCAUCGUUCUGGGAGUGCUGGUGCUGAUAUUAUUCCUGAAGUUUACUAAGUUUCAAAUCAUUGACAUCUUCACUGGCCUUUUGGCAUUCAUUCCUACUGGCUGGGGCUUGAUUUCCAUUGCUCAGGUGAUCAGGCCAUUCAUCGAAUCCACUGUGGUGUGGGGCAGUGUUAUUUCUGUGGCGCGUUUGUAUGAGAUACUGCUUGGAGUGAUUGUUAUGGCACCAGUUGCAUUGCUGUCCUGGUUGCCAGGAUUUCAAGAAAUGCAGACAAGGGUACUGUUCAAUGAAGGUUUCAGCAGAGGCCUCCAAAUAUCCCGCAUUCUUGCUGGCAAGAAAACGAACACAAUUUGA
rnacentral:rRNA from 1 species